rnacentral:misc_RNA from 1 species
GAAGUUUUCGUCGCUAAUGGCGGCAAUUUUGUUCGGCUUAGCUAAUCGAUGACAAAGUCUCAUCCUUGUGUAUGUAGACUUUUCCAAAUGUACGGAAUAAUGUGUGCAUGUUUUAACCAGUAGUUCAGAUUCUGUGUCGUUUGUGUCAGAUGUUAGGGUAAAAUGUCACAGUCAACGUUCUUGGAAGAGGUAGUAACUUGGGAUCAAGAAAAGCGAAUAGAAAAAGUGGACGAAGCCAUCCCAAGGCUUGUCUCUAUUUUGCAGACUUACAGUAGUUUUGAGGAAGCAGUUGGUAUAUUACAGAUUGUGUGCCAGUCAUUUGUUCCUAUCAUACAUCAUGAACAGCUUGAACAGCAAAUCUUUGGCAAAGUUUCUCAACAGAUUUGUUGUCUGCUUGAUGAUGUCUUGGAGACCAUUCAUCGCACAUGGCAGAACCAUGGGAAGACUUCUGAUUCUGAACAUUUGAUGUCUUUGCUGCAGGCUAUGCUAGGUAUUCUGGAAUGCACUGUGGAGUGUGUACAGCAUGUGGCUGGUCUCCACAACACAGUGCAGCUUCUUCACAUCAAGUCUUUACCUAGGUGUGCUCUUCAUGUCCUCAAAGGCUCCUAUGGACACUGCAAGGAGAGCAGUGACCUGUAUGGUGAUUUUCUUCCUAAAAUCUCAGACUUUUUGUCAGCAAUUUUCAGGAAGGCACAUUCUUUGCAAAUGAUAUUCCUGAACCUGCUGAACAAAUUAGAUCCAUGUUCUGGUGGGAGCACGGGAGAUUCACAGGAACUUCUGAGUGUGUGUGAUGGGUUAUUUUCUUUGUGCAACAUUGUGGCUCUUCUUGACUUGAAGCUGACACUUAGUAUUUGGAAAGCUAUUUUAAGAAUAGCAAAUCAACACCAAGGAAUACUGAGUGGAAGCCUGGAUAUAUCCAGCAUGAUAGGCUACCUCUGUGGGGAGAUGCAUAGUGGAAUUGAAAAUCUUCUACAGGCUGCUCAACCAGAAGAUGAUCAGGAAACACUAGUACUGUCUCAGGGUGAUGAGAAGACUUUCACUAGAGCUUUGAAGAUCCUUAGUUUUCAAAUGAAAGUGGUAGUUACCAUGGUGAAGGAUUACCAAGACUGCUUGGACAAUUGCAUUUCCAGCAUUUAUCGCCUCAUGCUCAAUUUGUACAGUGUACUUCCACCAUGUCUUUCUGCCCCCAGGAUACAGGUUAGACAACAAGAGGAAAUUAGGCAUCUUUUAAAAGGAAGUAUAUACCUUGAGCUGUCACCUUCUUUCCAACACUACUUUAAGAGACUGCCUGUCAGACCAUGAAGAUACGCCAGAAGAAUACUGCCUUCCUCGUCUUCUCCUGCAGAUCAUGAUUCUAGACAAUUUAGUGCAGUGUUCAGAAGAACAGGAAGAUAUCUGGUUUCAGAGACAUAUGAUGUCAUCAGGUUUAGUGGCAAGUCAUUAUC